rnacentral:rRNA from 1 species
GACGAACCGUGCGAACGUUGUUCGGAAUCACUGGGCUUAAAGGGCGCGUAGGCGGCUUGCCAAGUCAGGGGUGAAAUCUUGCGGCUCAACCGUAAUAAGCCUUUGAUACUGGCAGGCUCGAGGGAGGUAGGGGCAUGUGGAACUUCUGGUGGAGCGGUGAAAUGCGUUGAUAUCAGAAGGAACGCCGGUGGCGAAAGCGACGUGCUGGAUCUCUUCUGACGCUGAGGAGCGAAAGCUAGGGUAGCGAACGGG